rnacentral:rRNA from 1 species
CCUACGGGUCGCAGCAGUGAGGAAUAUUGGUCAAUGGACGAGAGUCUGAACCAGCCAAGUAGCGUGAAGGAUGACUGCCCUAUGGGUUGUAAACUUCUUUUAUAUGGGAAUAAAAUGUUCCACGUGUGGGAUUUUGUAUGUACCAUAUGAAUAAGGAUCGGCGAACUCCGUGCCAGCAGCCGCGGUAAGACGGAGGCUCCGAGCUUUAUCCGGAUUUAUUGGGUUUAAAGGGAGCGUAGGUGGAUUGUUAAGGCAGUUGUGAAAGUUUGCGGUUCAACCGUAAAAUUGCAGUUGAAACUGGCAGUCUUGAGUACAGUAGACGUGGGCGGAAUUCGUGGUGUAGCGGUGAAAUGCUUAGAUAUCACGAAGAACUCCGAUUGCGAAGGCAGUUCACUGGACUGCAACUGACACUGAGGCUCGAAAGUGUGGGUAUCAAACAGGAUUAGAUACCCCGGUAGUC